rnacentral:rRNA from 1 species
UCCAGACUCCUACGGGAGGCAGCAGUGGGGAAUCUUCCGCAAUGGGCGAAAGCCUGACGGAGCAACGCCGCGUGAUCGAAUGAAGGCCUUCGGGUUGUAAAGAUCUGUUGAUAGGGACGAAUAAGCAAUGCGAAUAGUUUUGUGUAUGACGGUACCUGUUUAGAAAGCUCCGGCUAACUACGUGCCAGCAGCCGCGGUAAUACGUAGGGAGCAAGCGUUGUCCGGAAUUACUGGGCGUAAAGGGCGCGUAGGUGGGCGCUUAAGUCAGGUGUGAAAACUCCGGGCUCAACCUGGAGACUGCACUUGAAACUGGGUGUCUUGAGGGCAGGAGAGGAAAGUGGAAUUCCUAGUGUAGCGGUGAAAUGCGUAGAUAUUAGGAGGAACACCAGUGGCGAAGGCGGCCCCCUGGACGAAGACUGACGCUCAGGUGCGAAAGCGUGGGGAGCAAACAGGAUUAGAUACCCCGGUAAUU